UACGAAGGGGGCUAGCGUUGCUCGGAAUCACUGGGCGUAAGCGCACGUAGUCGCGAUUCCUAAGUCGGUGGUGAAAUCCUGGAGCUCAACUCCAGAACUGCCUCCGAUACUGAGAGUCUUCGAGUCCGGGAGAGGUGAGUGGAACUGCGAGUGUAGAGGUGAAAUUCGUAGAUAUUCGCAAGAACACCAGUGGCGAAGGCGGCUCACUGGCCCGGUACUGACGCUGAGGUGCGAAAGCGUGGGGAGCAAACAGG
rnacentral:rRNA from 1 species